rnacentral:rRNA from 1 species
UGGGGAAUAUUGCACAAUGGGCGAAAGCCUGAUGCAGCAACGCCGCGUGAGCGAUGAAGGCCUUCGGGUCGUAAAGCUCUGUCCUCAAGGAAGAUAAUGACGGUACUUGAGGAGGAAGCCCCGGCUAACUACGUGCCAGCAGCCGCGGUAAUACGUAGGGGGCUAGCGUUAUCCGGAAUUACUGGGCGUAAAGGGUGCGUAGGUGGUUUCUUAAGUCAGAGGUGAAAGGCUACGGCUCAACCGUAGUAAGCCUUUGAAACUGGGAAACUUGAGUGCAGGAGAGGAGAGUGGAAUUCCUAGUGUAGCGGUGAAAUGCGUAGAUAUUAGGAGGAACACCAGUUGCGAAGGCGGCUCUCUGGACUGUAACUGACACUGAGGCACGAAAGCGUGGGGAGCAAACAGGAUUAGAUACCCUGGUAGUCCACGCCGUAAACGAUGAGUACUAGCUGUCGGAGGUUACCCCCUUCGGUGGCGCAGCUAACGCAUUAAGUACUCCGCCUGGGAAGUACGCUCGCAAGAGUGA